UAAUAUAAAUGAAGCUAAGAUGUCUGACCUAACUGAGUGGGAAAAGGGCUGAGUUGUUGGAGUUCGAAUGGCAACAGCAUCCGUCUCCAGAAUUGCUGAACUCCUUAGUUUUUCAGAAGCUACCAUAUCUGAAUUUGAGAAUCAUGGCAAAACCUCCAGCAGGUGUAGUAAGUCCAGCAGGACUUUGGAGGUCACUGAAAAAGACUGGCGAGUGAUGAAAAAUCUCAAAAUUACAGAAUACUUUAACCAUGGAUUUGUCAUCAUUUACCAAGAUUAAAGAAAUAGAUAUAAUCCUGUUUCUGUAAAUCUGUGUGAGAGAAUACUGUGAACUAUUUCCUCUGGCUGAGAUUAUUAACAAUAAUUUUGUUACUUCAACGCCUGAGAUAUAUAAACUUGGAUUACGAAGAGGUUUGCAGCGUUUUCAGAUAUUGACUUCUAUCACAGCUGAUUGAAAUGUAACCAAACAAAUAUUUGUUUGGAAUAAAAUAUAUGAGCAUAAAGAAGAAAAAUAACAGAAAAAUUAUGGAAGACGAAUUGUGCUAAGACAAUAUUAAGAGUGAAUCACAGAUUGAAGGAAAUGAAUCUCGAAGAUUGCUGUAUCUUUGUGAUAUCUGUGAUUUCACCAGAAUCCUGUCAGUGACUCUAACCAAUCAAAUCUUUGGCUCCGCCAGAGCAGACUUUGACAGGCAGUGACACGUGCUUGUUUGUCCGCUUCAGUUGAUUCAUGUGGUACUCAUUUUCCAAGCUUGCUGACCUUGCCGAGACGAUGCAGGUGGUUAAUGAUCAUAACAUGGGAGAUUCUAAAACUACCGCGACGUGCAGUUUGCAUUGGAUCGGCUUUAAUGACUUGCAACAAUGCAACAUCAUCGAUCUAUUCUUGGCGCUUGCCUCAAGGUUGAUCUUCCAGUGAAUAAUUGUUGGAUUCAAAGCGCUGACACCAAUUACCGCAACUAGUUUUUGAGACUGUGUAUGGGCCAAACGCUUCGCAGAUUAGUUCAGCUGCAUCACGCAUGGAUGUGCCAUGUUUGAGGUGAUACAGUAUGAUGCUAUGAAGAGCCAGCUUUGUAAGUGCUAUUUUUGGAGCACAUUUUGUGCACAAAGUCAUAUGUUUUACAAUACAACCACAACACAGAAUGCUAACGAGCAAAUAGUAGUUGUUAGUCUUUAUAUCCUCGCUUUAUAUCCAUGCUGGCUGCUCCUGAUUGGUCUCAGAAACAAACGAUUUGGUGUUUAUCCGGCUUGCACAUCUAAUUUAAUGAUACAUUUUUAACACUUUUUGAUGCGUUUCCAGUAACCCAUGGCUGGGUUUAUAUGUCGAACACUACCAACAGUCCAUUCGCUAAAUGAACUACUUCAGCAUCAAAAAUUUUCUUGUUCUCAUUUUUGAAUUGUAUCAGGUUGGUGCAAAAGUAAUGUCCGAUUUAAAGAUCUAAGGUAAAAAAUAAAUAAGCCAAUGACUAUGGAGAUAUUUAUUCAUUAACAUACUCUCCAUUGCUUUCAUUAACGUCAUUCCAUCUUUCAAUGACCUUAUAAAUGCCUCGCUUAUAAAAUUCUGUAGGUUUAGAACCAAAAUACGAAUCCAACUCAUUUUCAUUCUCUUCUCUUGUUAUACGAAAUCCAUCAAAAUGAUUCUGUAGUCUUCAGAACAAAUGGUAUGGUGCUUUGGAAAAGUCUACACCCCUUUUGAAAACUGGAUGUAUUUUGUUUAUUUUGAUAGGAACAAUUAAUAUUUUAAACUCCAAUAAUUUGCUUUAAUAAGCAGAUCUAUCACACUUUUAUUUAAUACACAAUACAUUUGAAACUGAUUCUUAAACAAAGAUAAAGUCUACACCCGCUUUGGAAUGUCUUCAGCUAAUACUUUGUGGAUGAUCCUGCAGGCGCCUCGGGUAACCUUCCACGAGCUUGCUGCAGUGGUCUGCUGACAGUUUUCACCAUUCUUCAUGGCAGAACUUCUCGAGCUGUGUCAGAUUGGAUGGGGAACAUCGGUGCACAGCCUGCUUUAGAUCUUGCCAUAGAUUUUCUAUAGGAUUGAGGUCUGGGGACUGGCUGGACCAUUCCAAAACUGUGAUUUUCUUGCUAGCAAACCAAGCUUUAGUGCUUUUUGACACAUGCUUGGGGUCGUUAUCUUGUUGAAACUUGAAAUUGCGAUCCAAGUGCAGAGCUCUAGCAGACUUCAGCAGCUUUGCCUCCAGUAUUUCUUGGUAUUUGACACUAUCCAUGAUACCUUGGCUUGUUAUCAACUCUC
rnacentral:lncRNA from 1 species